AAUGUGGUGGAAUUCGUGACAUCACAUCAUUUACCAUCACAGUUGAUGCAGCUGCUUUGGCUGAUUGGACAGUCCCUUUCUAUAAUCACUGCUCUUUUGAGGGUUCCUCCCAAUAUUUCCAACUUGCUGGAAAAGAACCAAUUUCUCAUUAGUGGAAAAUCAUUCUUUGGUCAAGGAUAUGAAACUAGUACCUAUAUAACCAUGAAG
ensembl:misc_RNA 7SK 7SK RNA